AGUUUAUAGUUGUAGUUGGUAGUUUGUGAUUUGUAGUUUGUAGUUUGUAGUUUGUAGUUUGUAGUUUGUAGUUUGUAGUUUGUAAUUUGUAAUUUGUAGAUUGUAGUUU
ensembl:ncRNA W07G1.13 ncRNA